AUUGAACGCUGGCGGCAUGCCUUACACAUGCAAGUCGAACGGCAGCACGGGCUUCGGUCUGGUGGCGAGUGGCGAACGGGUGAGUAAUGUAUCGGAACGUACCAUUGAGUGGGGGAUAACGUAGCGAAAGUUACGCUAAUACCGCAUAUUCUCUCCGGAGGAAAGCAGGGGCUCGCAAGACCUCGCGCGAUUGGAGCGGCCGAUAUCAGAUUAGGUAGUUGGUGGGGUAAAGGCUCACCAAGCCGACGAUCUGUAGCUGGUCUGAGAGGACGACCAGCCACACUGGAACUGAGACACGGGCCAGACUCCUACGGGAGGCAGCAGUGGGGAAUUUUGGACAAUGGGCGCAAGCCUGAGCCAGCAAUGCCGCGUGCAGGAUGAAGGCCUUCGGGUUGUAAACUGCUUUUGUACGGAACGAAAGGGCUCUGGUUAAUACCUGGGGCAUAUGACGGUACCGUAAGAAUAAGCACCGGCUAACUACGUGCCAGCAGCCGCCGUAA
rnacentral:rRNA from 1 species